GAGGAAGACCAUGCUGUGGGCCCGGCCGUGUUUGAUGAAGGUGAACUAUGACCCUGGAGCUGCUUGCACUGACGUUUAAAGCUUGGACUGCGUUUUGUCCCCCCGACAUGGAAAAUGUGUUCCAGAAGUAAUUAUCCGGAGAUACGGAGGUGGAACCUAGCGCCUGGCCUGCUGUUUCUCCACAGAGUGAAGUGUUGGAGUUAGCGGACGGUUGCCGAUGAUAAUGACGGAAAUUGACUGCAGGUGUGUGUGAGCACCAAGCUGCUCUGUUUGGCUGUUUCAGGCACAGAGGCAACACUGUUCUCAGCUCUG